rnacentral:rRNA from 1 species
UAAUACGAAGGAGGCAAGCGUUGUUCGGAAUCACUGGGCUUAAAGCGCGUGUAGGCGGAGUGAAAGGUACCUUGUGAAAUCCCUUGGCUCAACUGAGGAAUUGCUUGGUAAACCGGCACUCUUGAGGCAGGUAGAGGUGGGCGGAACUAUGGGUGGAGCGGUGAAAUGCGUAGAGAUCCAUGGGAACACCGGUGGCGAAAGCGGCCCACUAGGCCUGAUCUGACGCUGAGACGCGAAAGCGUGGGUAGCAAACAGGAUUAGAUACCCUGGUAGUCCACGCUGUAAACGAUGCGCACUAGAUACGAGGAACACUGACGUUAUUCGUAUCGAAAUAAAAACGUUAAGUGCGCCGCCUGGGGAGUACGGCCGCAAGGCUA